rnacentral:tRNA from 1 species
AGGUUGUGGCUCAGUGGUAGAGCACUUCCCUACCAUGCAUGAGGGGCUGGGUUCAAUCCCAGGCACCACCUA